UUUGCCUCUCCAGAUCUUAAAAGCCCCAUAACUUUUUUUCUGUUAGGUUUUUGAGGAUUUUGAAAAUGUUUAACGGGGUUCCCCCUGUUAAAAUCGGAUGUAACUUUCCGAGUAGAUGAUUUUUCAUA